UACGAAGGGGGCUAGCGUUGCUCGGAAUUACUGGGCGUAAAGGGCGCGUAGGCGGCACUGUUAGUCAGGCGUGAAAGUCCUGGGCUCAACCUGGGAACUGCGCUUGAUACGGCAGAGCUAGAGGAUGGAAGAGGCUCGCGGAAUUCCCAGUGUAGAGGUGAAAUUCGUAGAUAUUGGGAAGAACACCGGCGGCGAAGGCGGCCAACUGGACGAAUACUGACGCUGAGACGUCG
rnacentral:rRNA from 1 species